CUAUCUUAUAUUUUACAUUCGGUCAUUAUUUUACAUUCACCAUUGUUGCAUUGCUAACGUGGCUAGAAGAGCUUAGUAAGAUAGCCAACAACUCACAUUUAAAAAAAAUAAUUGUGUUGCAAUUCCCGAACAAUCAUCAACAUGCCUAAAAGAAAGAGUGCUACCAAGGGAGAUGAGGUAUGCAUACAAAUAUUCACAAUAUUAAUUCUAAACUGUUAGCUUGUGUAUUCGUUGUAAUUUUUACACUUUAACUGAACUACAACUUAUAAAUGCUGUAUAGGAUGUUCAUAAAGUCUUGAGCAAUUAGGUCUACAUAAAUGCUUCACGGAUCAUUUGUUAACACUUAUAUACAUAAAGGGUGAUAUGAAAGGUUGGUGCUUUGCUUAUGAAUUGUAAUUUUAUAUCAUCUUUAUUCAUUCAAAGUUGUAGUUUGUUUAAAGUGGGAUCGUUAUAGUAGUAACUGAGUCAUUGCUAGAUAUGUAACAUGUGUUUCUUUUUCAGCCUGCAAGACGUUCAGCACGUUUGUCAUCUAGACCUGCGCCAAAGCCGGCUGCCAAACCCAAAAAAGCGGCAGCACCCAAAAAGCCAGUCAAAGGAAAGAAGGCAGCUGAGAACGGUGAUGCCAAGGCUGAGGUCUGAAAUAAGUCCAUUUCCCUCCCAUUUCUAGGCGAAGGUUGAAGCCGCCGGAGACGCCAAAUGAAGAACUGUUUGAAGUUGUGAUCAUUCUGUGUACUUGGUGACUGUACAGUUUAAAAUAAGUAUUUUUUACCAAGUUUUUUUUAUAUUAAAAGAUAUCAUUUAUAGUUCAUUGUGGGCUUACAUUUGACGUAAUGAAGCUGUUCCAAGGGGUUGUCACGUUCAUAUCCAUUUUUUUAUGCCUUGUUUAAAUGAAUACCGUCCUUAUCCAGUCAAAGUUUUAAAAACCACACAAAAAAAACUUCUAACCCUGUUUUAUUUUUUUACUGCUGAAUGUUAUUUUCCAACGUAAAUCUAAACAUUAAAGGCAGCUAAAGUGUGUUUCUAAAAUGUUUAAGAGGAAUAGGGUUUUUGCCACUCCUUUUAGUUUUUUAUUGUACAAGUAAUAUGAAUUAAUUACAUACCAAAUGUUUUGAAUCAACAUCAGAUCUUCUCAUUCAGGAGACAAAAGACACCGUUUGAAAGUAAUCACUAACUUGUAUUAGGUCAACACACAAAAUGAAUAAUGUGAACUUAAUCAUUUGUUCUAUUGUUUAUUUUAUUAAAUUGUUCUGUAAAAACAGUGGAAAGAGCUAUUGUGACGCCUAUGAAAUUUUAAAUGUUCUUGAAUAAAAUGAUAAAAAGGC